AGACCCGAAACCCGGUGAUCUAGCCAUGGGCAGGUUGAAGGUUGGGUAACACUAACUGGAGGACCGAACCGACUAAUGUUGAAAAAUUAGCGGAUGACCUGUGGCUGGGGGUGAAAGGCCAAUCAAACCGGGAGAUAGCUGGUUCUCCCCGAAAGCUAUUUAGGUAGCGCCUCGUGAAUUCAUCUCCGGGGGUAGAGCACUGUUUCGGCUAGGGGGCCAUCCCGGCUUACCAACCCGAUGCAAACUGCGAAUACCGGAGAAUGUUAUCACGGGAGACACACGGCGGGUGCUAACGUCCGUCGUGAAGAGGGAAACAACCCAGACCGCCAGCUAAGGUCCCAAAGUCAUGGUUAAGUGGGAAACGAUGUGGGAAGGCCCAGACAGCCAGGAUGUUGGCUUAGAAGCAGCCAUCAUUUAAAGAAAGCGUAAUAGCUCACUGGUCGAGUCGGCCUGCGCGGAAGAUGUAACGGGGCUAAACCAUGCACCGAAGCUGCGGCAGCGAACGUAUCACUUAAAGCGAUUCAGCGGGUUACGAUUGACGGAGCGAAGCGACGUCAAAGCGUAUACAAAGUCGAGUCGGUUUAAGGAUACGUUCGUUGGGUAGGGGAGCGUUCUGUAAGCCUGUGAAGGUGUGUCGUGAGGCAUGCUGGAGGUAUCAGAAGUGCGAAUGCUGACAUAAGUAACGAUAAAGCGGGUGAAAAGCCCGCUCGCCGGAAGACCAAGGGUUCCUGUCCAACGUUAAUCGGGGCAGGGUGA
rnacentral:rRNA from 1 species